rnacentral:rRNA from 1 species
GACGAACGCUGGCGGCGUGCUUAACACAUGCAAGUCGAACGGAAAGACCCUGCUUUUGUUGGUUUCUCGAGUGCCGAGCGCGUGAGUAACACAUGUGUAACCUCCCCUUAACUUUCUGAUAACUUCAGGAAACUCGGGCUAAUACCCGAUAUGAGCUCCUGCUGCAUGGUGUUGGUUGGAAAGUUUCGGCUGUUGGGGAUGGUCUGGCGGCUUAUCAGCUUGUUUGUGUGGUAGUUGCUUACCAAGGCUUUGACGGAUAGCCGGCAUGAGAGGGUGAACGGGGACAUGGGGACUGCGAUACGGAGCAGUAGGCAACGGGAGGCAGUAGUGGGGAAUAUGGCAGAACAGGGGGAAGCGAGAGGUAAAAAUGCUGGGAGCGGGAUGACGGGCUUCGGGUUGUAAACAAAUUUGGAAGGUGAUGAAGAGUGAGUGACGGUAAUGGGUAAAGAAGCAACGGCUAACUACGUG